rnacentral:misc_RNA from 1 species
CCUUUCCACUGUAUGCAGGCCAAAGAGGUCUGGGGCGCGCUGCUCCGUGCCGCGGAGUGUGCCGCGAGGCAAGCGAGCAGCGGAGAGGAAGCUGCUGUGGUGGACACCGUGGCGGGUGAACUGGUACCCUACCCACACCUGAGCAGCGAAGAAACCACGUUUGUCCGCAACUGCGCCUUCAACCUUUCGAGAUUUGCGGCUCUGUGCGAAGGCGCUUUUCAGGGGUAUCGGGACUGCUACAAGCGAAACAGUACCUACCGACCAUCCAUGUAUCUUGUCGCGUAUCUCCUCAUCUUUCAGUACCGCGCGCUCGGCGGCGCUACUGUUCGUGAGAUGUUUAAGGGUAGCAUGCCGACGCCUCGUCUCUGCGAGUUUGUGGAGUUUCUCUUAUUAAGCGAGUCUGUGUCGCGCUACGCAGUUCCGCUGUGGCGAGCCGUCUACGAUGAUUCCUUCAUUCAGCACCACGUUCUAGCCCCCCUAUCUUCGAUCACCGAGGACGCGACGCAUGACGUCUUGGAAUGGUUUCGCCGACAGCCAUCCCAGUCGGCGACAGCGGUGGCGUGCCCUCCGGCGGAGGAGGCCGCUGCUCUAGGCACCAAACACCGCACCUUUCCUCCCUCUUCAUCGGCGGCGGCGUCGCGACCGCUAGCCGGUGCGCGUUUGCCUCCGCACGAGGUGCGUGAAAUGGUCUUCACAGUGCCAGAGCCGCGCCUGCCGCGCAUCAAGCCCAGCCCAGCCCCAGCAAAUGCUCCACUGAAGAGGGUCCCAACGACGCUUGUCGGUUUCUCCUUUCAUCGGCGCGAAGCUGCCGUUUCUGCUGCCCAAUCUGAAAAAGCGGCGGAGUGCUUGGCCAGUGCGGAUCAAAACACAACACACGAGGGAGCGCGUCUGUCAACUGCGCAGCUGCGCACCAUGCUCUCCACAUCGAAGUCGGUGCCUACCACCGUGGCGGCGCUCUUGCGAGAGGUGCGGGCGCGAGAACGUCAGCGGGACAACGCGGAGAGGGCGCUGCGGGAGCUGGAGGUGACGGUGCACGAUUCGACGGAGUUCGACCUGUGGCGGCAGUCUCAACUAGAAGAGGAGCAGCAGCGGCGCCAGAUGGAGGUAUUGCAGCGCCACCUUCGCGCCAUUGAGGCUUCGGACCGAGCACGAGCCCAGCGUGAGCGAACGACGCAGGCGCGCCGGCGACAGAUUCAGAGGAUGAAGGUGCAGUACCAGGCGGAGAUGCGGGCCAAUAUGCGAGAGCAAGAGCACGCGCUGCGCGAGCACGAGGAGCAUGCUCAGCAGCUGCGCAGCAAGCUCUCUCGGAACUGCGCUGCUGCGGUCGAUAAGGUGGCGGCAGAGAAAAGCGCCCUGGCGGCUCAGGUGAAGGAUGAGUCGGAGCAGCUACGCGCUGCUGCGCAGGAGGCGGAGGAGCACCGACGAACACACCAGGUCUUGGCGAUUCAGGAGAUCCGUUUGCUGCGCGAACGGCUGCGGGAGAAGCACGCGGCGAUGGGAACUGAGAGGCGCCGGGCCUGGGCGGACGGAGAGGCCGACGCCGCCUUAGGCCGCAUGUCGCAGGCCGAGCUCCGUGACGCGCUGGAGCGCCUCCGCGAAGAAGCUGCGGCCGAUGAGGAUUCACGGCGGCAGCGGGUGGCUGAGGCACGCAGUCGCACGCAGGAGAAGCAUGAGCGUCUCAAACGUGAGUGCAUUCGUGAGCGCGAGAAGCAGCGACGAAUCCGUCAGGCAAACCUGACGCAGCGCAUGGCCCACAGGGCGGCAGUGGAGGCGGAGCGGAUCCAAGUGGAGAGGGCGCGAAUGGCGCAGUUCCAUGAAAAGCUGGAAAUCCGACUCCAAGCCAAGCGUGAUGCCCACCACGCCGCGCACGAGGCGGAGCGACAGCGCAGAAACGAAGUCUUGCUACGCGCCCAAGACGGUGCUUCAAUGGAGCGCAAGAGAUGGUCACAGUACGAGGCGGGCCUGGUGCGACGCGCAGAAUUCGAGCAGCUGAGGGUACUCAAAGAGGCUCAGCAUUUCGCGUAGCAGAAAGUCGACGAAACGACUUAUUUGUUGGUAAAUGUGCUGCAUGUAUAAUACUGCACGAGGUAUAGGUGAGAAAGAGUCUGUUCCGCUUUUUCCGGCUGCGACUCUCGACGGUGCAUGUAAAGCGAUUUCCUCACUCCCUUCACCUUCUAAUCCUGCUCGAGACUCUUUUAACUCUGCCCCUUUAUCCUUUUGACCUGCUUGCGUCUUCUUUGCCGUGCAGGGCAGAUGGAUUCCCUUCUCUCGAUGUGUGUGGGCGCACCGCCCAUGCUUUCCGUGUGUUCUACACCACUACAC